rnacentral:rRNA from 1 species
UACAGAGGUCCCAAGCGUUGUUCGGAUUCACUGGGCGUAAAGGGUGCGUAGGCGGUCGGGUAAGUCUGGUGUGAAAUUCCAAAGCUCAACUUCGGAACUGCAUCGGAUACUACUCGGCUAGAGGGUUGGAGGGGGGACUGGAAUUCUCGGUGUAGCAGUGAAAUGCGUAGAUAUCGAGAGGAACAUCAGUGGCGAAGGCGAGUCCCUAGACAACUCCUGACGCUGAGGCACGAAAGCCAGGGGAGCAAACGGG